CAAAAAAGUACGGUACGGUUCU
rnacentral:snRNA from 1 species